AAAAAAACUUCUAUGACACAGGAAAAGUUCCUGAUUUGAAAAUUUCUGAAGAGAGCUGCUGACAGAGAUAUAAAAAACACAGAAUCUUCCAUUCUAAUGGCCGUGCACCAGAGUUGGAGCGUAUCUCCUGUCGAAGAACAUCUCUAGACAUUAUGAACCAUAUGACCAUGGAUUGAAAGCUCCAACACCAAUUAAGCAGACCUGAGCAGCUGAUCAAGGAUCACCAGAAACUCUGCAGAACGUUGGUCCUCAAUGCCCA